rnacentral:rRNA from 1 species
AUUGAACGCUGGCGGCAGGCCUAACACAUGCGAGUCGAGCGGAUGAAGGGAGCUUGCUCCUGGAUUCAGCGGCGGACGGGUGAGUAAUGCCUAGGAAUCUGCCUGGUAGUGGGGGAUAACGUCCGGAAACGGGCGCUAAUACCGCAUACGUCCUGAGGGAGAAAGUGGGGGAUCUUCGGACCUCACGCUAUCAGAUGAGCCUAGGUCGGAUUAGCUAGUUGGUGGGGUAAAGGCCUACCAAGGCGACGAUCCGUAACUGGUCUGAGAGGAUGAUCAGUCACACUGGAACUGAGACACGGUCCAGACUCCUACGGGAGGCAGCAGUGGGGAAUAUUGGACAAUGGGCGAUAGCCUGAUCCAGCCAUGCCGCGUGUGUGAAGAAGGUCUUCGGAUUGUAAAGCACUUUAAGUUGGGAGGAAGGGCAGUAAGUUAAUACCUUGCUGUUUUGACGUUACCAACAGAAUAAGCACCGGCUAACUUCGUG